CUUAGAGGGAAGUUUUGAAGAAGAGGUUAUAGAAAACGUGGGUUAGGGGGAAAGUUGAUGUUAUAAUAGACUGAAGAAAAUAGGGUAGAACAGAGGCAAGACCUGAGUUGCUUCUUUGGCUAUAUACUCAGGGGCUGGAUGAUGUGGGGAAGAGGGAGGGUGGCGGGGAGGAGAGUGAGGGAGGGAAAGAGGAAGAAGGGGGUGAGAGGGAGAAACCUGCUGCCGCUCGCCGGCUCUUUGUCUGCUCGGGGACUUGGAACAAAAGGGGAAACUCUGAUGAACUCUCUCCAUCCUCCUCCUCCCUGACGCCUGGUUAUCUCUCCUCUCACAACUUUGCUGGAGAGACUCUUUUUAGUGCCAGGCACCCAACAAGUUCGGGCGCUUUAGGAACUGGAGUUGGAGAAUCAUCUCCUUUAAGAAUGGAUAAAAGAGGGGGGGAGAAGAAGGUGGUGGAAUGAUGAUGGGCAACAUCUAGGAAGCAUUGCAUUGUCUAGAAGACCUUUCUUGCAAGGUACUUUCUCCAGACUACAUUGUUCUUGUUGGACAUUUUUGACAGUGGAUAUAACCAUGUCAAAUCAUUAUUGGGUGAAACAUAUCAACCAACUUGGAAUUAUUGUUGGAGUUCAUAACACUGGGAUUUUUGGAUGUGACAUGACUAAUAUGAAGGAUACUAUUACUGUCGGGAAUACAGCUUCCUGAUCACUGGAAAUUCUUUGGCUCAUAAAAGGUAUGUGUCUUUUGGGAACUUCAAUGAAGGUACCUAUUGGUGGUAAAAACUAUGUUACUGGCAAAAAACAACAACAACUGAUGAGUUGUUUCAAGCUGUUGAUUGAUCCUAGUGUUCUUCUGUUUUGGGUUAGUUGGUAGUGCUUCUGUUCUUUUGCAUGUGUAUUGAGAUUUGAAUAUUUCUGUUAAAUUACACUAAUCUUGCUAUAUUUAGCCUUUACCUUUGUUUUAUAUACAAACAGUAUGUGAUUUACAAGUAAAAGGCAUAUAUUCAAAGUUAGCAUCAUUUCAGCCUUUAAUGUCAUCUUCAUGAUCUAUAGGGUCAACUGGGCCAGUGCCCAGUUUUAAUCACUGUACAUUUAAAAAAUAAACACUAUGUUUACAACA
rnacentral:lncRNA from 1 species